GAAGAUAGUGGGACAGUUACAAAUGAAAAUAUUUUAAAAAGCAUUUGUAUCCCUUUUCCCCUUUACAACUGGUCUCCCACCUACCGAAGGCUUCCGGUGCAGCAGUUUCUCAAUCUCUCUGUUUGGACGGCUCUUCAUUCAGUCUUCAUGUGGCGAGAAACGCUACAGUGGCCGAGCUUAAAUUUGCCAUGGAGGAUGCAUUUAAUCAUAUUCCCAAUGACGAUAGAACAAGAUUAUGUUUUAGGUGAGACGGUCGGCUUUAAAGAUGACAAUUGAGUUAUUUUACGAGUUGUGAAGAAUUGAGGAUUUUAGUUUAUAAUAAUGAGGUUGAUUUUAAUUUUAAAGUUAAUGUAGUGCAUAAAGAAGUUUUUAAAAUGAUGAGUAAUUAUCUAUUAUGGUUUCUUUAUUAUGAUAGAUUUUUA